rnacentral:rRNA from 1 species
UACGUAGGGUGCAAGCGUUGUCCGGAAUUAUUGGGCGUAAAGAGCUCGUAGGCGGUCUGUCGCGUCGGCUGUGAAAUCCCGGAGCUCAACUCCGGGUCUGCAGUCGAUACGGGCAAACUGGAGUACUGCAGGGGAGACUGGAAUUCCUGGUGUAGCGGUGAAAUGCGCAGAUAUCAGGAGGAACACCGGUGGCGAAGGCGGGUCUCUGGGCCGAUACUGACACUGAGAAGCGAAAGCGUGGGGAGCGAACAGG